AGAGUUUGAUCCUGGCUCAGGAUGAACGCUGGCGGUAUGCCUAACACAUGCAAGUCGUACGAGAGUUUUUAACUCAAGUGGCGGACGGGUGAGUAACACGUGAGAAUUUACCUCUAGGAGGGGGACAACAACUGGAAACGGUUGCUAAUACCCCAUAUGCUUUCGAGUGAAAUGAAUUUAUUCGCCUAAAGAGAAGCUCGCGGCUGAUUAGCUUGUUGGUGGGGUAAGAGCCUACCAAGGCGACGAUCAGUAUCUGGUUUGAGAGGACGAUCAGACACACUGGAACUGAGACACGGUCCAGACUCCUACGGGAGGCAGCAGUGGGGAAUUUUCCGCAAUGGGCGAAAGCCUGACGGAGCAAUACCGCGUGAGGGAAGACGGCCUAUGGGUUGUAAACCUCUUUUUUCAGGGAGGAAUCAAUGACGUGUACCUGAAGAAUAAGCAUCGGCUAACUCCGUGCCAGCAGCCGCGGUAAGACGGAGGAUGCAAGUGUUAUCCGGAAUCACUGGGCGUAAAGCGUCUGUAGGUGGUUUAAUAAGUCAACUGUUAAAUCUUGAGGCUCAACUUCAAAAUCGCAGUCGAAACUAUUAGACUAGAGUAUAGUAGGGGUAAAGGGAAUUUCCAGUGGAGCGGUGAAAUGCGUAGAUAUUGGAAAGAACACCGAUGGCGAAGGCACUUUACUGGGCUAUUACUGACACUCAGAGACGAAAGCUAGGGUAGCAAAUGGGAUUAGAUACCCCAGUAGUCCUAGCCGUAAACGAUGGAUACUAGAU
rnacentral:rRNA from 1 species